AAAAAAGAACACACAGAAAAAGAUAAAUCCCAUGUGAUCCUACUUAUAUGUGGAAUCUAAAACACAUAUGACACCAAACUUACAGAUACAGAGAACAGAUUGUUGGUUGCCAGAGGCUGAGAGUAGGGGGUGGGUGAGAUGGAUGCAGCAAGCCAGCAGGUACAAAUUUUCAUUUAUAAAAUAUAUGAGUCUUAGGGAUGUAAUAAACAGCAAGGUGACUAUCGUUAAUAACACUAAAAUGCAUACUUGAGAGGUACGAAGAGAGUAGAUGCUAAAAGUUCUCUUCAUAAAAAAAUUCUCUUUCUUUAUGGGAUAGAUGUUAAUUAGACUGUGGUGAUCAUUUCACAAUACGUAUAAAUAUCAGGUCAUUAUAGCAUUAUAUUGUCUAUCUGAAACAAAAUAAUGUCAAUUAUACCUUAAUAAAAAAUUUACAAAUAAAAAAAAGUAAGCUCUAUGAAGAUAGGAUUUUGAAUUAUUGUUUUGUUUGUUUGAAUUAUUGUUGUAUCCCCAGGUGCUCCUGGCACAUGGUGGGUACUAAAUAAAUAUUUCUUAAAUGUAACAGAUUAAUUUGAGAACAGGGUUGAAAAAGAAGAGCCUCAUAAAGGAAUCAAAAAGGAGAAGAUCAGAGAUGUACAAAGAGACCUAAACGUCCAGGAAGUUGUAAGAGUGAUUCAGGGGACAAGGAGAUCAGAAUAUAAACUGAUAAAAGGUGCCUGCCAGCCUAGCUACAUCCCAAAUCUUUGAAGAUGAUAGAGAAGUUUAUUAAAAAAAAAAAAAAUCAACAUCGUUGUUGCAGAACAAGUGCCUUCCUUAAUGGACCAGAAACUUUGAGGAAUCCCUGAAAUGUAGAAGACAGAAGGUGUUGAGUCGACAGAAGAAUUCACUGAACAAAGCACAAAAAAUGCUAUAAAAUGAAGUUGUUUAUUAAGCAAGUUCCCAGACACCAGGCAAGGACCAGUCUUCCAAGCAGGACUUUCAAAAAAUAGCAGUCUCAGGUUUGCUAUGCUAACUGUCUCCUGUGUAGCCUCCUCUGAUCACCCGCUCCAACCAAUCAAGUAGUACAUCAUGGACACAGCUUCCGCCAGACAGGUACAAUGAGGUUACAAGCAUCUGUGAGGUGUCAAGGAAAGGCCCUGGUUUGCCAAGAGGAAGAAGAAGAUGCCACAUUCAGAAAAUUAAUGAUUGGCACAAGUCUCCCAGCAACCUGUGUUCCCUUCCUUUGUGAACACAAAGGAGACUGUAAAGGGCAUAGGAUUAGCAAAAGGAGCUAAGGUGUGUACACAGAGUGGGGUGUGUGCAUCCCAGGAGGUGUACAUUUGAUUGUCUGGGGGUGGGGGCAGGGAGAAAAUGCUUUACCCCUUUAUUUUUAAUAAAAAAUGAUUUUCAAAAUCUAACUUGUACUAACAUGUAUCACUUGUACGUUACUAGAAUAUACAAAAUACAACUUGUAUUACUUGUAUUACUUGGAGUCAGGGAUCCAGAACCCUGAUCAUGACAGAGGGGCUAAUGUUUUCCCAAUUAAAAUCCUCACAGCUCCAAGACCAGGAUACUUUUUCUGAACCUGAUGUCUGGCCUUCUAAAUGCCUGGGUCCUUGCCCAGAAUGUGAUAGGCAAUGGAAGGCCCCCAUUACUACCACUUCUUUCUUAGACAUUUUAUCACAAGCCUGGUGCGUUCAUUGUCUCGUCACUUGACUUUGUUCCUUCAACAGUUGACACACAAAAAAAUUAGGGCAUCUGGGCCAGCAUUCCAAGGUCUGCAGAUAAAGGCCUACUCUAGAAAUGAGGAAGGCCCAAAUAGGGCAGCAUGACUAGCUUUGAGGAUCGAGAAGGAUAAUUACUAACAUUACAAGAACUAGUCCCUUGAAGUUCCACGUUUCUGAAACAAUAAACUUGCUGAGAAUAUCAAGACUGGGGAGAUGGAUUGUCAAUAUUCCACGGCUGUUAUUAAGGCCUCCAAGGGAGUUGCGUAAGACGUGAAGCAGAAGGAUAAGGGUGAACCGGAACUGCAGGUGAAACUACUAGUUGAAUAUUUUUGUGGGUGGAAUGUGCAAAGAAUUUCAGAUAAAGUAAGACCAAGCAAACGGAUCAUUUGCCUAAUCCGCUGCAUUCUAUAACUAGAGCAACACAGGCUGUCAUGCAGCCAGGGUGUACACUCUGCAGUAUGAGACAGAGCAUGCUACCAGGGCACUACAUAGAGCAAGAAGAAGGGGAAAUAGAAAGCCGGCGGUCCUUAUUAUCAUCAUCUCUGCUCCACAGUUCCAUGAAUGUGACAACCUUAAAUCAGACCAAGCAAACAGAUCCUGGGGUCCUGGA